GGCUGAGGCAGGAGAAUCACUUGAACCCGAGAGGUGGAAGUUGCAAUCAGUCGAGAUCGUGCCACUGCACUCCAGCCUGGGGGACAGAGCAACACUCUGUCUUUAAAAAAAAAAAAAAAAAAGGCCGGGCGCGGUGGCUCCCGCCUGUAAUCCCAGCACUUUGGGAGGCCGAGGCGGGCAGAUCACAAGGUCAGGAGAUUGAGACCACAGUGAAACCCCGUCUCUACUAAAAAUACAAAAAAUUAGCCGGGCACGGUUGUGGGCGCCUGUAGUCCCAGCUACUCGGGAGGCUGAGGCAGGAGAAUGGCGUGAACCCGGGAGGCGGAGCUUGCAGUGAGCCGAGAUCGCGCCACUGCACUCCAGCCUGGGCUGGGCGACAGAGCGAGACUCCGUCUCAAAAAAAAAAUAAAAAAAAAAAUAAAAAGGGUACAAUGAGAUAAACUAAAAUAGUCCAACAUGUUAAUUGAAACAUACUACGAAAAGUGUUAAAUAGCCUGAAAGAAUUGUGAUAAAGGGGAAACUGAAUACUGGGAACAAAAGAGAAGAAGCAGGUAAUGAAGUGGUGGCCAGGCGCAGUGGCUCAGGCCUGUAAUCCCAGCACUGUGGGAGGCCCAGCACUGUGGGAGGCCAAUCACUUGAGGUCAGGAGUCUGAGACCAGCCUGGCCAACACACUGAAACCCCAUCUCUAUAAAAAUACAAAAUUAGCCGGGGGUGAUGGUGGGAGCCUGUAAUUCGAGCUACGUGGGAGGCUGAGGUAGGAGAAUCACUUGAACCGGGGAGAUGGAGGUGGCAGUGAGCUGAGAUCGCACCACUACACUCCAGUCUGGGUGAUAGCAAGACUCUCUCUAAACAAAAAAAAUAACUGGUAGAGUCGAAUCCUAUGUAAUCAAACACGUUAAAUGCACGUGAUCAGCCGGGCGUGGUGGCUCACGCCUGUAAUCCCAGCACUUUGGAAGGCUGAGGCAGGUGGAUCUCUUGAGGUCAGGAGUUCCAGACCAGCCUGGUCAACACGGUGAAACCCUGUCUCUACUAAAAAUACAAAAAUUAGCCGGGUUUGGUGGCGCACACCUGUAGUCCCAGCUACUCAGGAACCUGAGGCAGGAGAAUCACUUGAACCCAGGAGGCAGAGGUUGCAGUGAGCCGAGAUCACAUCACUGUACUCCAGCCUUCGUCUCAAAAAAAAAAAAAAAAAAAAAAAAAA
rnacentral:lncRNA from 1 species